UACAGAGGGGGCAAGCGUUGUUCGGAAUUACUGGGCGUAAAGGGCGCGUAGGCGGCCUGUUAAGUCGAACGUGAAAUCCCCAGGCUCAACCUGGGAACUGCGUCCGAUACUGGCAGGCUUGAAUCCGGGAGAGGGAUGUGGAAUUCCAGGUGUAGCGGUGAAAUGCGUAGAUAUCUGGAGGAACACCGGUGGCGAAGGCGGCAUCCUGGACCGGUAUUGACGCUGAGGCGCGAAAGCCAGGGGAGCAAACGGG
rnacentral:rRNA from 1 species